AGCACAAAUGAUGAGUAUCGGGACUUAAUGCUGACGCUCUUUGUGAUGUCUCAAACGUAUGCUGAUGUGC